UUCGCAAUGCCCGAAAGGGUGACGAAGCGACGCCGCGUGUGGGAAGAAGGCCUUCGGGUUGUAAACCACUGUCGGGAGUUAAGAAAUGUAAGGGUGUUAAUAGCAUUCUUACUUGACGUUAGCUCCGGAGGAAGCCACGGCUAACUCUGUGCCAGCAGCCGCGGUAAUACAGAGGCGGCAAGCGUUGUUCGGAAUUAUUGGGCGUAAAGAGCACGUAGGCGGCUAUGUAAGUCGGUUGUGAAAGCCUUCCGCUCAACGGAAGAACAGCAUCCGAUACUACAUGGCUUGAGUGCGGGAGGGGAGAGUGGAACUUCUGGUGGAGCGGUGAAAUGCGUAGAUAUCAGAAGGAACGCCGGCGGCGAAAGCGGCUCUCUGGCCCAUAACUGACGCUGAGUGUGCGAAAGCUAGGGGAGCAAACGGGAUUAGAUACCCCGGUAGUCCUAGCCGUAAACGAUGGGCACUAAGUAGAGGGGUUUUA
rnacentral:rRNA from 1 species